CAGGAAAAUAUAAACUGCUUUAUUGUAAGCUAGUUUCCUUUUAUUGAAUAGCAAAAAGAUGAAGAUAUAUCUAGUUUACAAGGUCUGAAUCAAAACUUUUGACAAAAAUUGGAUUAAAGCUUAAUAUAAAAUCAUGUUCCAUUUAUAUUUUGUGUUCAUAUAUAUUAAAAAUCUGUAUGUAUAUGCAUGUAUGUGUAUAUGUGUAUAAAUAUAUACAUUCAUUCAUUCAUUUACACAGAGACAGAUAUAGAAAUAAACAUUGGUGAACCAGAAGAAUAUUCAAAAUUCAUAUCUUAAGAAAUAGGACACUGUAAACAUUAUAACAACAACAUUAAAUGGUCUCCAGAACAGCUUGACUCUUGGGAUGGUGCUCCCUGUUAAAUAUUAUCCUUUGUAGCAUCUUUUCUCCUUGCCAUAAAGAUUUGAAAGUCACCAAAGCCACAUAUUUCUUCCUCCUCCUCCUCUUGCUUGUAUACUAUAUAUUCAACAGUUGGUCUUCCUGUUCCUAUAAUUGCAACAAUAGUCUUCCAACUUCUCUGCUUCUUAUUCUUCUUUAACUUUCUGGUAUCUGGACCAAGUUGCUGCUGAAGAGCAUCAACAGAAACCACUACAUCAGCCU
ensembl:processed_transcript